UACGUAGGGGGCUAGCGUUGUCCGGAUUUAUUGGGCGUAAAGAGCGUGUAGGCGGCCAGGUAGGUCCGGUGUGAAAACUCGAGGCUUAACCUCGAGAUGUCAUCGGAAACCAUCUGGCUAGAGUCCGGAAGAGGAAAGUGGAAUUCCCGGUGUAGCGGUGAAAUGCGCAGAUAUCGGGAGGAACACCUAUGGCGAAGGCAGCUCGCUGGGACGUUACUGACGCUGAGACGCGAAAGCGUGGGGAGCAAACAGG
rnacentral:rRNA from 1 species